rnacentral:rRNA from 1 species
GACGAACGCUGGCGGCGUGCCUAAUACAUGCAAGUCGAACGCAGUGGGGACGGGUGAGUAACACGUGGGUAACCUCCCAUCAGAGGGGAUAACACUUGGAAACAGGUGCUAAACCGAUACUGAUGGAUGGACCCGCGGGGCAUUAGCUAGUUGGUGAGGUAACGGCUCACCAAGGCGACGAUGCAUAGCCGACCUGAGAGGAUGAUCGGCCACACUGGGACUGAGACACGGCCCAGACUCCUACGGGAGGCAGCAGUAGGGAAUAUUCGGCAAUGGGCGAAAGCCUGACCGAGCAACGCCGCGUGAGUGAAGAAGGUUUUCGGGUCGUAAAGCUCUUUGGUUAGAGAGGCGGUAUCUAACCAGGAAGCAACGGCUAACUACGUGCCAGCAGCCGCGGUAAUUC